rnacentral:rRNA from 1 species
GAACCGUCCAAACGUUUAUUCGGAAUCAUUGGGGCUUAAAGGGUACGUAGGCGGUGCCGUAAGUCGGGUGUGAAAUCCCUCGGCUCAACCGAGGAACUGCGCACGAUACUGCGGUGCUUGAGGGAGACAGAGGUGAGCGGAACUGAUGGUGGAGCGGUGAAAUGCGUUGAUAUCAUCAGGAACACCAGUGGCGAAAGCGGCUCGCUGGGUCUCUUCUGACGCUGAGGUACGAAAGCUAGGGUAGCGAACGGGGAUUAGAUACCCCGGUAGUCCUAGCUGUAAACGAUGAGCACUUGUCUGGGGGAUCCCCCCCCCCAUAGGUUCCCCCCGGACGAAGCGAAAGUGUUAAGUGCUCCGCCUGGGGGAGUAUGGUCGCAAGGCUG